UAAUGCUAAAAAAAAAUCUAUAAAUGGAUGUAUCUUGUAGUUCUAUCAUUAAACAGAAGCUAGCAAACAAAAGAGUGUAGUGUGUAAAAUGGCAUCACUCAAAGCCGAUAAACCAACUGAUAAAUCUGGUGUCUCUCAACCAUCAGGGCAGGUUAAGAAAGAGUCUGCUGCUAAAACUAGUGGAACCACUCCUAAAACUAGAGCCUCCAAAGCAGCAGCAGCAGCACCAAAGAAAACUGAGCAGAAACCUCAGCCUAAGAAGAAGGCUAGCAGCAGUAAGCAGAAGAUAUCAAGUGAAGUUUAGAUAACUUGAAAAAAUAGUUGUUGGACUUAUAUAUUAGUCAUCUGAAGAAUCCAUAAGGAUAAUGUUAUGGUGCAUGUUUCGUGAAUUUUAUCAGUAGUACUAUAGUUUGUAUUGUACCACUUGCUUCUUUUGCCCCAUCUGUAUAUCAUGUAACUCCUUGCCUGCCCAGCAUGGCCUUAUAAAUAAAAUAUAGUUAUGAUGA